rnacentral:lncRNA from 1 species
UGGUUUUUAACAUCUGAAACUUGUGUGUUAUGUUGUUUAAUGUUUUCCUUUUAUUCCUGAGAUGCUUCAUUUAUUCAGGACAUUUUCUUUUUCUUUCUUAGAAAUGUCUAAGACAGACCUAUCAACUAAGCUGGAAUCUACUCUUUGGAAAUAUCUUCCUUGUACUCCCAAAUUUUCUCCUAUUAAUGUGGCAUAUGUUUCAGUAUAUCUAUGCUAUUUUCUUUUUACGUAUAUACACAAACAUGCACAUGUAUGUAAAUAUAGGUACAUAUAUGUAUAAUGUUUUCAUCUGAAUCAGUUACUUUUGUCACAUAUGUGGCCAAUCCAAUAUCCAUUCCCUCUUCUUUAUUGCUAAAAAAGUCCUGACCUUGUUUUAAGAAAAAUAAACAAAAAACUCUGUUCUAACUUCUCCUGUAGUUGUAAGCAAAAGUUAUUAGAUUGAGUUUCUCAGAUAAUUCUUUAAAAAUGCAGGGUGAGGGCAGGGCCAGACUCAGUAAGCAGGUAUUCUUUUGGCCUUUCUCCACUUUCCAUCUGGAAUGUGGAUGUGGUGCCACAUGUGAAGCAUUGAAGCAUUUAUCUUAAAACCAUGCAUUUACCAUGAAAGGAUGAAUAGGAAGUUUGCUAUAUUAAAUUAAAAUAGAAGAUUUUAAGUUUCUAUUUUGUGAAAGCAAUUUGGCAAAAAAAAAAAAUUCUACCUAUAUAUACAUGAAAUGUAUAGUAGAAUUUUAAUUUUCUUCAUUGUAAUUAAACUCAAAUCGGU